rnacentral:rRNA from 1 species
AUUGAACGCUGGCGGCAGGCCUAACACAUGCAAGUCGAACGAGUGGCGGACGGGUGAGUAAUGUCUGGGAAACUGCCUGAUGGUGGGGGAUAACUACUGGUAACGGUAGCUAAUACUGCAUAUCAUCAGAUGUGCCCAGAUGGGAUUAGUUAGUUGGUGGGGUAACGGCUCACCAAGGCGACGAUCCCUAGCUGGUCUGAGAGGAUGACCAGCCACACUGGAACUGAGACGCGGUCCAGACUCCUACGGGAGGCAGCAGUGGGGAAUAUUGCACAAUGGGCGCAAGCCUGAUGCAGCCAUGCCGAGUGUAUGAAGAAGGCCUUCGGGUUGUAAAGUACUUUCAGCGGGGAGGCGUUACCCGCAGAAGAAGCACCGGCUAACUCCGUGCCAGCAGCCGCGGUAAUUC